rnacentral:lncRNA from 12 species
AUGGAUUUCCAGGAGGGAGCUGGUCUGAGCACACGCUUCUUCUAUGUGCUACACAUGACCCCAUCCCGCCAGGCAGGUCCUCAGGAGAGCAAUCGGCACCUGCUUCAGCUAUGGCUAGAGCUCGUUGGCCCAUGCGGUGGGCAGAAAACUGAAAUGAGGACAGAGAAGCGUCUCAAAGACUCAAGGAGGAGUUCAGUCUCUCACCACCUUCCUGCAGGUCUUCUGAAUACUUCUGAGCAUAGGAGCCUCUUCCUUCAACAGGAAGAAAAUCUACAUUUCCAUGAAAAUGUCAAAAGAGAAAUGAAUCUGCUUUAAAGAACAGCGGAAGAAGACGGACUCAUCUCGUGCUGGAUCUUGCAACUUUGUCAUUUUGCAGUUUGUCUCUUGGUUUAAGAGAGUCCGUCCCCAGCCUGUGGUGGUGACACAGCCUUGCUGGGGUAUUCCUGGUUCCCUCACUGCUGACCUUCUGGGUCCUGGGGGCCCAAAUACAUCUACUUCUCUUCAGAAUCAGUCUGAUGCUUCCCACAGCCAUGGGGAGAAGUCCUGGGUCAGCCACAGCGAUUAGGAAGCGAAGCCGGGUGAUCAUGGGCUGAUCCUUUCAACACUGUGAACUUUGAUUUCCUCAACUGUUAAAUAGAGACACUGCUGUCUACCUCAUAGGGUCAUUAAGUGGGCACAUAUGUGUGAAAGUGCUGUUUGAACGUGGAGAAUACGAUACUGUAUAGUCAGAGUAAAUUUAAUCAUUUCAUUGAA